rnacentral:rRNA from 1 species
GAGGAAUAUUGGUCAAUGGGCGUUAGCCUGAACCAGCCAAGUAGCGUGAAGGAUGAAGGCUCUAUGGGUCGUAAACUUCUUUUAUAUAAGAAUAAAGUGCAGUAUGUAUACUGUUUUGUAUGUAUUAUAUGAAUAAGGAUCGGCUAACUCCGUGCCAGCAGCCGCGGUAAUACGGAGGAUCCGAGCGUUAUCCGGAUUUAUUGGGUUUAAAGGGAGCGUAGGUGGACUGGUAAGUCAGUUGUGAAAGUUUGCGGCUCAACCGUAAAAUUGCAGUUGAUACUGUCAGUCUUGAGUACAGUAGAGGUGGGCGGAAUUCGUGGUGUAGCGGUGAAAUGCUUAGAUAUCACGAAGAACUCCGAUUGCGAAGGCAGCUCACUGGACUGCAACUGACACUGAUGCUCGAAAGUGUGGGUAUCAAACA